AGGGAAUCUUCCACAAUGGACGAAAGUCUGAUGGAGCAACGCCGCGUGAGUGAAGAAGGUUUUCGGAUCGUAAAGCUCUGUUGUUGGUGAAGAAGGAUAGAGGUAGUAACUGGCCUUUAUUUGACGGUAAUCAACCAGAAAGUCACGGCUAACUACGUGCCAGCAGCCGCGGUAAUACGUAGGUGGCAAGCGUUGUCCGGAUUUAUUGGGCGUAAAGCGAGCGCAGGCGGAAGAAUAAGUCUGAUGUGAAAGCCCUCGGCUUAACCGAGGAACUGCAUCGGAAACUGUUUUUCUUGAGUGCAGAAGAGGAGAGUGGAACUCCAUGUGUAGCGGUGGAAUGCGUAGAUAUAUGGAAGAACACCAGUGGCGAAGGCGGCUCUCUGGUCUGCAACUGACGCUGAGGCUCGAAAGCAUGGGUAGCGAACA
rnacentral:rRNA from 1 species